CAUGUGGGGCAAGCGUUGUUCGGAAUUACUGGGCAUAAAGGGUGCGUAGGUGGUUUGUUAAGUCAGGGGUGAAAUCCCGCGGCCCAACCGUGGAACUGCCUUUGAUACUGGCGAACUUGAGUGCGUGAGGGGUAGGGGGAACGAGCAGUGUAGCGGUGAAAUGCGUAGAUAUUGCUCAAAAAGCCAGAGCCGAAGGGGCCCUACUAAUGCACAACUGACACUGAGGCACGAAAGCGUGGGGAGCAAACAGGAUUAGAUACCCUGAUAGUCCACGCCGUAAACUAUGAGCACUAGAUGGAUGCCGAGCUAUCGGUGUCUGUCGGAGGCAAUUUGGUAAGUGCUCCGCCUGGGGAGUAUGGUCGCAAGGCUG
rnacentral:rRNA from 1 species